GGGUUGUGAGGUUAAGCGACUAAGCGUACACGGUGGAUGCCCUGGCAGUCAGAGGCGAUGAAGGACGUGCUAAUCUGCGAAAAGCGUCGGUAAGGUGAUAUGAACCGUUACAGCCGGCGAUGUCCGAAUGGGGAAACCCAGUGCAAUUCGUUGCACUAUCGUUAACUGAAUACAUAGGUUAACGAGGCGAACCGGGGGAACUGAAACAUCUAAGUACCCCGAGGAAAAGAAAUCAACCGAGAUUCCCCCAGUAGCGGCGAGCGAACGGGGAGCAGCCCAGAGUCUGAAUCAGCUUGUGUGUUAGUGGAACGGUCUGGAAAGUCCGACGGUACAGGGUGAUAGUCCCGUACACCAAAAUGCACAGGUUGUGAACUCGAAGAGUAGGGCGGGACACGUGGUAUCCUGUCUGAAUAUGGGGGGACCAUCCUCCAAGGCUAAAUACUCCUGACUGACCGAUAGUGAACCAGUACCGUGAGGGAAAGGCGAAAAGAACCCCGGCGAGGGGAGUGAAAAAGAACCUGAAACCGUGUACGUACAAGCAGUGGGAGCACCUUCGGGUGUGACUGCGUACCUUUUGUAUAAUGGGUCAGCGACUUAUAUUCUGUAGCAAGGUUAACCGUAUAGGGGAGCCGCAGGGAAACCGAGUCUUAACUGGGCGUUAAGUUGCAGGGUAUAGACCCGAAACCCGGUGAUCUAGCCAUGGGCAGGUUGAAGGUUGGGUAACACUAACUGGAGGACCGAACCGACUAAUGUUGAAAAAUUAGCGGAUGACUUGUGGCUGGGGGUGAAAGGCCAAUCAAACCGGGAGAUAGCUGGUUCUCCCCGAAAGCUAUUUAGGUAGCGCCUCGUGAACUCAUCUUCGGGGGUAGAGCACUGUUUCGGCUAGGGGGUCAUCCCGACUUACCAACCCGAUGCAAACUACGAAUACCGAAGAAUGUUAUCACGGGAGACACACGGCGGGUGCUAACGUCCGUCGUGAAGAGGGAAACAACCCAGACCGCCAGCUAAGGUCCCAAAGUCAUGGUUAAGUGGGAAACGAUGUGGGAAGGCACAGACAGCCAGGAUGUUGGCUUAGAAGCAGCCAUCAUUUAAAGAAAGCGUAAUAGCUCACUGGUCGAGUCGGCCUGCGCGGAAGAUGUAACGGGGCUAAACCAUGCACCGAAGCUGCGGCAGCGACACUAUGUGUUGUUGGGUAGGGGAGCGUUCUGUAAGCCUGCGAAGGUGUGCUGUGAGGCAUGCUGGAGGUAUCAGAAGUGCGAAUGCUGACAUAAGUAACGAUAAAGCGGGUGAAAAGCCCGCUCGCCGGAAGACCAAGGGUUCCUGUCCAACGUUAAUCGGGGCAGGGUGAGUCGACCCCUAAGGCGAGGCCGAAAGGCGUAGUCGAUGGGAAACAGGUUAAUAUUCCUGUACUUGGUGUUACUGCGAAGGGGGGACGGAGAAGGCUAUGUUAGCCGGGCGACGGUUGUCCCGGUUUAAGCAUGUAGGCUGGUUAUCCAGGCAAAUCCGGAUAAUCAAGGCUGAGGUGUGAUGACGAGGCACUACGGUGCUGAAGUAACAAAUGCCCUGCUUCCAGGAAAAGCCUCUAAGCAUCAGGUAACAUCAAAUCGUACCCCAAACCGACACAGGUGGUCAGGUAGAGAAUACCAAGGCGCUUGAGAGAACUCGGGUGAAGGAACUAGGCAAAAUGGUGCCGUAACUUCGGGAGAAGGCACGCUGGUGUGUAGGUGAAGUCCCUGCGGAUGGAGCUGAGACCAGUCGAAGAUACCAGCUGGCUGCAACUGUUUAUUAAAAACACAGCACUGUGCAAACACGAAAGUGGACGUAUACGGUGUGACGCCUGCCCGGUGCCGGAAGGUUAAUUGAUGGGGUUAUCCGUAAGGAGAAGCUCUUGAUCGAAGCCCCGGUAAACGGCGGCCGUAACUAUAACGGUCCUAAGGUAGCGAAAUUCCUUGUCGGGUAAGUUCCGACCUGCACGAAUGGCGUAAUGAUGGCCAGGCUGUCUCCACCCGAGACUCAGUGAAAUUGAACUCGCUGUGAAGAUGCAGUGUACCCGCGGCAAGACGGAAAGACCCCGUGAACCUUUACUAUAGCUUGACACUGAACAUUGAGCCUUGAUGUGUAGGAUAGGUGGGAGGCUUUGAAGCGUGGACGCCAGUCUGCGUGGAGCCAACCUUGAAAUACCACCCUUUAAUGUUUGAUGUUCUAACGUUGGCCCCUGACCGGGGUUGCGGACAGUGUCUGGUGGGUAGUUUGACUGGGGCGGUCUCCUCCCAAAGCGUAACGGAGGAGCACGAAGGUUAGCUAAUCCUGGUCGGACAUCAGGAGGUUAGUGCAAUGGCAUAAGCUAGCUUGACUGCGAGCGUGACGGCGCGAGCAGGUGCGAAAGCAGGUCAUAGUGAUCCGGUGGUUCUGAAUGGAAGGGCCAUCGCUCAACGGAUAAAAGGUACUCCGGGGAUAACAGGCUGAUACCGCCCAAGAGUUCAUAUCGACGGCGGUGUUUGGCACCUCGAUGUCGGCUCAUCACAUCCUGGGGCUGAAGUAGGUCCCAAGGGUAUGGCUGUUCGCCAUUUAAAGUGGUACGCGAGCUGGGUUUAGAACGUCGUGAGACAGUUCGGUCCCUAUCUGCCGUGGGCGCUGGAGAAUUGAGGGGGGCUGCUCCUAGUACGAGAGGACCGGAGUGGACGCAUCACUGGUGUUCGGGUUGUCAUGCCAAUGGCACUGCCCGGUAGCUAAAUGCGGAAGAGAUAAGUGCUGAAAGCAUCUAAGCACGAAACUUGCCCCGAGAUGAGUUCUCCC
rnacentral:rRNA from 1 species